GAUGAAGAACGUAGCGAAAUGCGAUAAGUAAUGUGAAUUGCAGAAUUCAGUGAAUCAUCGAAUCUUUGAACGCACCUUGCGCUCCCUGGUAUUCCGGGGAGCACGCCUGUUCGAGUGUCGCGAAAUUCUUCAAGCCUUGGAUGGAUUUUUUUUUGUCUGUCCUUGGGCUUGGUUGUUGGGCUCUGCCGUGUCCUUCAUUGGGACGGCUGGCCUUAAAAGCAUUAGCCGAUCCUCGUGUGGUACUGGUUCUACUCAGCGUGAUAACAAUCUGAUCGUUGAGGACAUCUUCUGGAUGGCCAGUCAUCAUUUGGGUUGCUUCUAAACCGGUUUCGCAGAUUGCUCAAUCUGUGUGCCACUUUUCAGCUUUGACCUCGAAUCAGGUGGGACUACCCGCUGAACUUCAGCAUAUCAAUAAGCGGAGGA
rnacentral:misc_RNA from 1 species